rnacentral:rRNA from 1 species
AACGAACGCUGGCGGCAUGCCUAACACAUGCAAGUCGAACGAGACCUUCGGGUCUAGUGGCGCACGGGUGCGUAACGCGUGGGAACCUGCCCUUAGGUUCGGAAUAACUCCCCGAAAGGGGUGCUAAUACCGGAUAAUGUCUUCGGACCAAAGAUUUAUCGCCUUUGGAUGGGCCCGCGUUGGAUUAGCUAGUUGGUAGGGUAAAAGCCUACCAAGGCGACGAUCCAUAGCUGGUCUGAGAGGAUGAUCAGCCACACUGGGACUGAGACACGGCCCAGACUCCUACGGGAGGCAGCAGUGGGGUAUAUUGGACAAUGGGCGAAGGCCUGAUCCAGCAAUGCCGCGUGAGUGAUGAAGGCCUUAGGGUUGUAAAGCUCUUUUACCCGGGAUGAUAAUGACAGUACCGGGAGAAUAAGCUCCGGCUAACUCCGUG